AGAUGUUGAAGAUUUAGAAAAAGA
rnacentral:miRNA from 1 species